rnacentral:lncRNA from 1 species
AACUUCUUUAUUUCUAUAUUCAUGCUGCAAAUUUCAUAUUACAAGGUUCAACAAAUCAAUUUUGUACCUGAUAUUUGGCAAAAGCAAAAAGGAAGAGGAAGAUCAGUAGGGUGACAGUAUACUUCAGCAAUUCAGCAACACCAAAUGGAUCCACUAACAGAGCAGUAGUAGAAAUCCCAAGAAUAGAUUAAAAUCAAGCAAAAGGAUCCAAUAGCAGAUUCGACAACCAAACAGGAGGAAUCCAAGAAUAGAUGAAAUAGCAACUGAAUACCAGUAGAAAAUCUCAACAAAACCAAAUGAAUACCAACAAUAUAAGAAACCAACUAAGGAACCUUAGUCAAAACAGAAGAGAAACCAAUGAUAGGCAACAAUAGUUGCCUGCCUUUUAAUACUCGGGGAAACAAAACUUAAAAUUUCCAAUGAACCAAUAGGAAACACUAACACUGAUUUUUUAGCAAAAUAGACUAUAGUCUCCUAAUAUUCCACUUCUAAUGUUAAAAUUCAGUUUUGUAAGCUCUGAAUUCUAAUCUCCAAAAUCACUCCCCUUUUUGUGUCAAAAUGACUCCUUCUUUAUAGUUAAAACUAACAGCCCAUUCCCCCCUUUUUGAAAGUCUUCCCCAACCCUCAAGAUCCAUAAUCUAAUCAUUUUUCCACUAAAAAUUUGAAAAAAAUCUGCUUCUUUUGAAAAUGUUAACUACCCUACCCCCCAAAAUGUUAAAAGUCUGCCCAUCUUUUGCAAAACUUAAUCAAGAGUGCCUUUUUUCUUAACUUCUUCCUUAAUUUAAGGCACAUAUUAAGGCUUGACUAACAUUCCAUUAGUUUAGUCAAUCCUGCCCUCUUUUUAUUUUCAAAAUACCCCUAAUAUCCUACUGUCAAAACAUGAUUCAAAAUCUGUUCAAACUUAACAACUGACCAAAACUAGUUCUGAAUACUCACAACUAAACAAGUACACAGCUAACCAAUUCACAACCUAAGUUAAAACAAGUUAUAACAUCAUUAAUCAAGCUAAGACCUACUGGCAGAAAUUUUUCGUUUUUAUUCCAACAUUUAAGUACUAAAACUAAUCGACGGAAUUUAUGCAAUCGACUACACAAACUAUAAUAUGUAUUGGUUAACGACAAACAAACAGAAACCGGCAGACACACAUGUGAUUCGAGCGACAUUUGACAAAACAGGGAGUUAUAAUGAAACUAACUAAUCGACGAAACUAAUCAAGCCGAUUCAUGAUUUAUAGCAUAUAAAACUAAACAAACAAUCUAUAAUGUAUAAUGUAUACUAAAGACGGAGUGAUUUUUGUGGUAUUUACAAAAACACGGGCUAACAGGAAACUAAUUAAUCGAUGAAACUUAUCAAUCGAUUGCACAGUCUAUAAUGUAUACUAAACAAAGGAAUAGAAAAAAAAUAUGAUGAAAUAAAAUGUCUGAUUUGAGAAGAAGAAGAACAGAAGACAAGACCCAAUGAUCAAACAAUCCUAUACAACUAACCGACGAUAUUUAUUUAAUCGAUUACAUCACAUAUAACCGAUAACAAAUAAUCGACACAAAGAUAAUGUGAUUCAUGACAUUCAGACAAAACCGGGGAUUAUAAUAUAAUUCAACUAAUUGAUGAAACUAGUCGAAUCGAUUAUCUAAUUUAUAUCAUACACUCAAAAAACGAGCAGAAAUAAAUUCAACCAAAUAAACUGUUAGGGAAGAUGAACAGAAUAAUCAGAAAAAGAAAAUUGAAAAAUCAACGAAACUAAAGUAAAAACCAUAACGAGAUGACACACAAUGGAACAGAAAAAAGAAAAACAAAAUACCUUAUUAAUUUGAAAUUUGGAUGAACUGGCUUGACCUCGGACCCAGACUCAAACCAGACUUGACCUUUUUGAGGUCGAAUGGACCUUAAUCGAGCGUUCUUAGUUGAGAACACUUCGACUAAGGUCUAUUAGACCUCAAAUCCUCUAUUAAUUUGGCUAGACUUCCAAUUUUGGAUUUUCUAGGUUCAUACGGAUGAUUUGAGGGUCGUGGUUUUCUGGGUAGAUUCGAACCAAACCAAGCCUUGUUUGGUUACGAGUGAGGUCAGUGGAGUGUUUGGUGCUAGUUUGGGGUCGAUUGGCAUAGGUUGAGUUUGGACUCGAAUCUUCAAAUGAAGAUUCGAGAUGUUUGGGCUUGAUUCGAGAGAUGUGGCUAGGUUAGCUGUGUUUGGGGUGAAUUGGGGGUUUUAUGGUGUUGAGGAGGUGACGGUGGCGUUGUUGCCGCCGGGUUUAUGGUGUAAAUAGCCUUAUGGCGGCUAGGGUUUCGGGGCUCUGGUCUCUGAGGGUUUGAGACGGAGAAGAAGAAUGAGGAGGGUAAGGUGCCUUUGGGGGGUGCGGGGUGAGAAAAGAUGGAUUUUAUACGAGGUGGGGAGAUGAAUCUUGGCCGUUAUCGUCAAUGAUCAACAGCUUGGAUCAAAUUGCUUAACUGAAACAGGGUCGUUUGAUAUAGGUACGAGAUCGUUUGGUUUAGUAGGGGAAUGGGUUGGCCCGGGUUAAAAUGGUCCUGGUUGUGAGGGGAGCUAUUGACCGUUAGAUUAGACUGGGAUAGACGGUUGAGAUUAGAUGGCCCUAUACGGCGUCGUUUGGAUAAGUGACAGGCCUGAUCUGGGCCGUUCAUCUGAGUCAAUCAAUGGCUCGGAAUGGGGAUGCUAAUACAUCGUCGUUUGGAUGUCUGAAAGACUAGUUCAUGGAAUGGGUCAGAUCAAUUAAUUUGGGCCUUGUUCUCUUUGCAUUUUUUGCCCAAAUCCGGUAUUUCCUUCCUUUUUUUUCAUUCUUUUAUUUAAAAGAAAAAUUCCUAAUUAAAUUGAAACCAGAAUUAAACUACACAAAUAUUAAUGAUCACUUAACAAUAAUAAACUCACAAAUUAAAACAUUCAAAUAAAAUCACACAAUGAGAACAAAUAGAAUAAAAAAUAAAUAUUUUUGCGAUUUUUCUUUUAAAACCAAACUAUGCUUGAAUUAAUUCCUAAAUGCACAAUUAAGUCCUAAAUAUGCAUGCAACAUGUAUUUUUGUAUUUUUAAUUAAUCACAACAAGGUAAGGAUUUACGGACCAAAUAAUUACCAAAAUUGUCACGUAAAUUCUCAAAAUUUGCACCCGAAGGUAGCUUGGUUUAUUUUUUCGAUUUCUUUUUGAGUAGUUUUUGUGAAGCAAAAAAUCACGUAAAAAUACAAAAACUGCACCCGAAGGUAGCUUGUUUUAUUUUUUAUUUCUUUUGGAGUAAUUUUCGUGAAGCAAAAAUCACGUGCUCACACAUAUAAGCUCAGAGGGUACUCUUAAGUAGCUUCACACAAUCGCAUUUUAAGUGACAAGUUUUAGAACGAUUACAAAUAUAAACAACUCCACCUCUUGAACUAGAGAUUUACCUUGUACUUUUUCUAAGGGUCAAAGGCAAAAAAAUAUGCGACCUUUACACUAAAAAAUAGGAUAAAAUCAUAAUGCAAUUUCGACAUUAAACCGAGAGCAAAAAAGGGAUGACUUAUAGUGCAAAAGGACCCUAACAAAUUUCUAGUAAUCGGAACAAAGCUUCAGCAGAGAAUACUCACAACUUUAUGAAAGGGAGAUACUAAUAAGUUGACCAAGAAAGAUGAGGGCUCUUCAAUCGGUUUCCAACUUGUCUUUCACCAGACGAAUACCUUCAAUUCGCUGCCGAUGAACUUGAAUUUUGAGAAACCCUAGAGGAUUAGCUAGACUAAUACUAGCCUUAAAGGGAUUUUUCGAUGUUGACGCUGCCGGUGCCGCCGAUGAC